UGAGGAAUAUUGGUCAAUGGGAGGAAUCCUGAACCAGCCAUGCCGCGUGCAGGACGACGGCUCUACGAGUUGUAAACUGCUUUUGUACCGGGGUAAAAUGCCUUACGAGUAGGGUUUUGAAAGUACGGUACGAAUAAGGAUCGGCUAACUCCGUGCCAGCAGCCGCGGUAAUACGGAGGAUCCGAGCGUUAUCCGGAUUCAUUGGGUUUAAAGGGUGCGUAGGUUGUUUUAUAAGUUAGCGGUGAAAUACCGAUGCUCAACAUCGGGGCUGCCGCUAAUACUGUAGGACUAGAGAUCGGAUGCAGCAGGCGGAAUGUGUAGUGUAGCGGUGAAAUGCAUAGAUAUUACACAGAACACCGAUUGCGAAGGCAGCUUGCUAGGCCGGAUCUGACACUGAUGCACGAAAGCGUGGGGAUCGAACAGG
rnacentral:rRNA from 1 species